rnacentral:rRNA from 1 species
GACGAACGCUGGCGGCGUGCUUAACACAUGCAAGUCGAACGGAAAGGCCCUGCUUUUGUUGGGUUCUCGAUUGGCGAACGCGUGAGUAUCACGUGAGUAACCUGCCCUUGUCUUUGUGAUAACUUCAGGAAACUCGGGCUCAUACCGGGUAUGAGCUCCUGCUGCAUGUUGGUGGUUGGAAAGUUUCGGCGGUUGUGGAUGGACUCGCUGGUUAUCAGCUUGUUUGUGUGGUAGUUGCUGACCAAGGCUUUGACGGGUAGCCGGCCUGAGAGGGUGACCGGGCACAUUGGGCCUGAGAUACGGAGCAGUAUCGUACGGGAGGCAACAGGCGGGAACCUUGCACAAUGGGCGGACGCGUGAUGCAGAAACGUCGCGUGCGGGAUGACGGCCUUCGGGUUGUAAACAGAUUUCGACUGUGACGAAGAGUGAGUGACGGUAAUGGGUAAAGAAGCAACGGCUAACUACGUG